AGCGGGAAAAGCUCAAAUUUAAAAUCUGGCGUCCUCCGGGCGUCCGAGUUGUAAUCUGGAGAAGCGUUUUCCGCGUCGGACCGUGUACAAGUCUUCUGGAACGGAGCGUCAUAGAGGGUGAGAAUCCCGUCUCUGACACGGACUACCGAUGCUUUUGUGAUGCGCUCUCGAAGAGUCGAGUUGUUUGGGAAUGCAGCUCAAAAUGGGUGGUAAAUUCCAUCUAAAGCUAAAUAUUGGCCAGAGACCGAUAGCGAACAAGUACCGUGAGGGAAAGAUGAAAAGCACUUUGGAAAGAGAGUUAAACAGUACGUGAAAUUGUUGAAAGGGAAACGCUUGAAGUCAGUCGCGUUGGCCGAGACUCAGCCUGGCUUGCCUGGUGUACUUCUCGGUUGACGGGUCAGCAUCAGUUUUGACCGUCGGAUAAAGGUUGGAGGAAUGUGGCAUCCCUCGGGAUGUGUUAUAGCCUCUGAUUCGCAUACGGCGAUUGGGACUGAGGAACUCAGCACGCCUUUAUGGUCGGGGUUCGCCCACGUAACGUGCUUAGGAUGCUGGCAUAAUGGCUUUAAGCGACCCGUCUUGAAACACGGACCAAGGAGUCUAACAUGCCCGCGAGUGUUUGGGUGUUAAACCCGAGCGCGUAAUGAAAGUGAAAGUUGAGAUCCCUGUCGUGGGAGCAUC
rnacentral:rRNA from 1 species